ACACGAUGGGAACAUUCUCCGUGUCUGGACCCUGAUCAAGACACAAAUCGGUCUUCAGAGAGUUCUGCAGCUGGGCACCGGAGGAGAGGUGGCCACACCAAGAAGACAGGAACAGAGAAAGAAGUGCAUUACGUCAGGAGAAGCCAGCAUUCCACUGACACAGGGUACACAGCAGUCAACAGAACCAAUGCCUGAGUACUAUCGACCAAUGUCUUACCAUGUCAGAACUGAGUAUGCUGUGUUCUUACCACUGCUUCCUGUGCCUGUCUCCCCUGGCUGACCAGACUGGGGUGCUGUCUUUCUCAUGGUCUGUGACACGGGCCAGUCCUGGCACAUAGCAGACCGUAAAUCCAUGUGGAAUGAGUGAAUUAAAGAAGAAAAUGAAUAAAUGGAUGACAUUCCCAAA